rnacentral:ncRNA from 1 species
AUAAAGUUUUAUUUUGGCUUAUUAAUUUAUUAUUAAUUUAAUUUAUAUGUAAAUUUUUGUAUAAAUUAAUAUUUAUUUUAAAAAUAAAUAAAAUUUUAUUUUAUUUACAAUAAUUAAUAUUAUUAAUUAAAGAAAUUUAGAAAUAGUAAUAUUAAAUAGUAUUGACUAAAUUUGUGCCAGCAGUCGCGGUUAUACUAAUAAUGCAAAUAAUUUUUUUUUAGUUUAAGUUAAAUUGUUAAAAUAAAAUAAUAAUAAAUUUAUUAGGUGAAAUUUUUAAAUUUUUGGUAUUUUUCAAUGAUUGAAACUAAUAAAUUUUAAAAAUAAACUAGGAUUAGAUACCCUAUUAUUUAAAAUGUGAAUAGAAAAAUUAAGGUAGUAAUAGUUAUGUUCUUUAAACUUAAAAAAUUUGGCGGUAUUUUAGUCUAUUCAGAGGAACUUGUUUUUUAAUCGAUAAUCCACGAUGGACCUUACUUUAAUUUGUUAACAGUUUAUAUACCGUCGUUAUUAGAAUAUUUUUAAAAAAAGUUAAUUUUCAAAAUUUUUAAAAAGAAAAUAUAUCAGAUCAAGGUGUAGCUUAUAUUUAAGUUUAAAUGAGUUACAAUAAAUUUAUUUAAAUGAAUAUAAAUAUGAAAUAUUUAUUGAAGGUGGAUUUGAUAGUAAAAUUAUAAAGAUAAAUAAUUUGAUUUAGCUCUAAAAUAUGUACAUAUCGCCCGUCACUCUUAUUAAUAAAAUAAGAUAAGUCGUAACAUAGUAGAUGUACUGGAAAGUGUAUCUAGAAUAC